AUUGAACGCUGGCGGCAGGCCUAACACAUGCAAGUCGAGCGGGGUGAUGGUGCUUGCACUAUCACUUAGCGGCGGACGGGUGAGUAAUGCUUAGGAAUCUGCCUAUUAGUGGGGGACAACAUCUCGAAAGGGAUGCUAAUACCGCAUACGUCCUACGGGAGAAAGCAGGGGAUCACUUGCGACCUUGCGCUAAUAGAUGAGCCUAAGUCGGAUUAGCUAGUUGGUGGGGUAAAGGCCUACCAAGGCGACGAUCUGUAGCGGGUCUGAGAGGAUGAUCCGCCACACUGGGACUGAGACACGGCCCAGACUCCUACGGGAGGCAGCAGUGGGGAAUAUUGGACAAUGGGGGGAACCCUGAUCCAGCCAUGCCGCGUGUGUGAAGAAGGCCUUAUGGUUGUAAAGCACUUUAAGCGAGGAGGAGGCUCUUUUGGUUAAUACCCAAGAUGAGUGGACGUUACUCGCAGAAUAAGCACCGGCUAACUCUGUGCCAGCCGCCGCCUAA
rnacentral:rRNA from 1 species